CGCGGCCUAUCAGCUUGUUGGUGAGGUAACGGCCCACCAAGGCGACGACGGGUAGCCGGCCUGAGAGGGCGACCGGCCACACUGGGACUGAGAUACGGUCCAGACUCCUACGGGAGGCAGCAGUGGGGAAUAUUGCGCAAUGGGCGAAAGCCUGACGCAGCAACGCCGCGUGCGGGAUGAAGGCCUUCGGGUUGUAAGCCGCUUUCAGCAGGGACGAAGGGUUACCUUGACGGUACCUGCAGAAGAAGCACCGGCUAACUACGUGCCAGCAGCCGCGGUGAUACGUAGGGUGCGAGCGUUGUCCGGAAUUAUUGGGCGUAAAGAGCUUGUAGGCGGUCUGUUGCGUCGGAAGUGAAAACUCAGGGCUCAACCCCGAGCCUGCAGUCGAUACGGGCAGACUAGAGUGCUGUAGGGGAGACUGGAAUUCCUGGUGUAGCGGUGAAAUGCGCAGAUAUCAGGAGGAACACCGGUGGCGAAGGCGGGUCUCUGGGCAGUAACUGACGCUGAGGAGCGAAAGCGUGGGGAGCAAACAGGAUUAGAUACCCUGGUAGUCCACGCCGUAAACGGUGGGUGCUAGGUGUGAGCGGUAUUCCACGCCGUUCGUGCCGCAGCUAACGCAUUAAGCACCCCGCCUGGGGAGUACGG
rnacentral:rRNA from 1 species